UACGGAGGGUGCAAGCGUUAUCCGGAUUCACUGGGUUUAAAGGGUGCGUAGGUGGGUUGAUAAGUCAGUGGUGAAAUCCCCGAGCUUAACUUGGGAACUGCCAUUGAUACUAUUGAUCUUGAAUACCGUGGAGGUCAGCGGAAUAUGUCAUGUAGCGGUGAAAUGCUUAGAUAUGACAUAGAACACCAAUUGCGAAGGCAGCUGGCUACGCGAAUAUUAACACUGAUGCACGAAAGCGUGGGGAUCAAACAGG
rnacentral:rRNA from 1 species